rnacentral:rRNA from 1 species
ACGGUAUUGCAAUGAGAACAAUUUAAAACCCUUAGCGAGAAUCAAGUGGAGGACAAGUCUGGUGCCAGCACCCGCGGUAAUUCCAGCUCCACUAGCGUAUAUUAAAGUUGUUGCAGUUAAAAAGCUCGUAGUUGAACCUCUGUCUGGGGCUAGUUUUGGCUUUGGUCAGGCUAGUUCUAGGCAUCCGCCUACAAGACUUAGAGGGCAUUCAGUUGUUCACUAGGAGGAGUAGGCAUUUUACUUUGAAAAAAUUAGAGUGUUUAAGCCAGGCAAUCGCCCGCAUAUAUUAGCAUGGAAUAAUAGAAUAGGACACUUUUCCAUUUCGUUGGUUAUUGGAAUCGUGUAAUGAUUAAUAGGGACAGUUGUGGGCAUUUGUAUUUAAUUGUCAGAGGUGAAAUUCUUGGAUUUAUUAAAGACAAACUAACGCGAAAGCAUUUGCCAAGGAUGUUUUCAUUAAUCAAGAACGAAAGUUAGGGGAUCAAAGACGAUCAGAUACCGUCCUAGUCUUAACUAUAAACUAUUCCGACUCAAUGUUUGACUGGCUUAUAUAACCAGUUGAGCGUUGUAUGAGAAAUCAAAGUCUUUAGGUUCUGGGGGGAGUAUGGUUGCAAAGCUGAAACUUAAAGGAAUUGACGGAAGAGCACAACCAGGAGUGGAUUCUGCGGCUUAAUUUGACUCAACACGGGGAAACUUACCAGGUUAAAACAAUAGUGGGAUUGACAGUUUGAGAGCGCUUUCUUGAUUGGUUGGGUGGUGGUGCAUGGCCGUUCUUAGUUGGUGGAGUGAUUUGUCUGCUUAAUUGCGUUAACGAACGAGACCUUAACCUGCUUACUAGACUGGCGAUCAUCAAUCGUUAGCUCUUCUUAGAGGGACUUUGGUUGUUUUAACUCCAAGGAAGUUUGAGGCAAUAACAGGUCUGUGAUGCCCUUAGAUAUCCCGGGCCGCACGCGUCAUACAAUGACUAGUUCAGAAAGUUUUCUUCUGACCCGAAAGGGGAUGGGUAAUCUUGAUAAUACUAGUCGUGUUAGGGAUCGAUCUUUGCAAUUAUAGAUCUUGAACGAGGAAUUCCUAGUAAGUGCGGUUCAUCAGACCGUACUGAUUACGUCCCUGCUCUUUGUACACACCGCCCGUCGCUUCUACCGAGUGGGUGGUCCGGUGAGAUAAUUGAACUUCGCAGGUAACUGAGAGGAAAGAUUAUCAAACCUAUCCACCU